AUUGAACGCUGGCGGCAUGCUUUACACAUGCAAGUCGAACGGUAACAGGCCGCAAGGUGCUGACGAGUGGCGAACGGGUGAGUAAUGCAUCGGAACGUGCCCAGUCGGGGGGGAUAACGCAGCGAAAGCUGUGCUAAUACCGCAUACGAUCUAUGGAUGAAAGCGGGGGACCGUAAGGCCUCGCGCGAUUGGAGCGGCCGAUGUCAGAUUAGGUAGUUGGCGGGGUAAAGGCCUACCAAGCCGACGAUCUGCAGCUGGUCCGAGAGGACGACCAGCCACACUGGGACUGAGACACGGCCCAGACUCCUACGGGAGGCAGCAGUGGGGAAUUUUGGACAAUGGGCGCAAGCCUGAUCCAGCAAUGCCGCGUGCAGGAAGAAGGCCUUCGGGUUGUAAACUGCUUUUGUACGGAACGAAAAGACUCUUUCUAAUAAAGAGGGUCCAUGACGGUACCGUAAGAAUAAGCACCGGCUAACUACGUGCCAGCAGCCGCCGGUAACAC
rnacentral:rRNA from 1 species